UUUGUGUGUCAGGAUGGCCGAGUGGUCUAAGGCGCCAGACUUAAGGUUCGGCUCUGUAUGCAGUAAAGAGACUUCUGGUCUCCAAUUGGAGUCGUGGGUUCGAACCCCACUUCUGACAUGUCUUUACCGUUUUAUAAUCCACUUUGGACACUAAAUUAUUUUGACUCGCUAACUUUUUCAAGGUGGCAGAAAACGUUUGUCUUUCCUUUGUUUGUGUGUCAGGAUGGCCGAGUGGUCUAAGGCGCCAGACUCAAGGUUUGACUCCUUCUUCAGGAAAGAGGCUUCUGGUCUCCAAUUGGAGUCGUGGGUUCGAACCCCACUUCUGACAUGUCUUUACCGUUUUAUAAUCCACUUUGGACACUAAAUUAUUUUGACUCGCUAACUUUUUCAAGGUGGCAGAAAACGUUUGUCUUUCCUUUGUUUGUGUGUCAGGAUUGCCGAGUGGUCUAAGGCGCCAGACUCAAGGUUUGACUCCUUCUUCAGGAAAGAGGCUUCUGGUCUCCAAUUGGAGGCGUGGGUUCGAACCCCAGUUCUGACAUGUCUUUACCGUUUUAUAGUCCACUUUGGACACUAAUUUAUUUUGACUCGCUAACUUUUUCAAGGUGGCAGAAAAUGUUUGUCUUUGCUUUAUUUGUGUGUCAGGAUGGCCGAGUGGUCUAAGGCGCCAGACUCAAGGUUUGACUCCUUCUUCAGGAAAGAGGCUUCUGGUCUCCAAUUGGAGGCGUGGGUUCGAACCCCACUUCUGACAUGUCUUUACCGUUUUAUAAUCCACUUUGGACCCUAAAUUAUUUGACUCGCUAACUUUUUCAAGGUGGCAGAAAACGUUUGUCUUUCCUUUGUUUGUGUGUCAGGAUGGCCGAGUGGUCUAAGGCGCCAGACUCAAGGUUUGACUC
ensembl:lncRNA